CUUCUUCUCUCCAGCACUUGAGUUUAUAUAGAGGUGUGAUCCCCUCUAUAAUUGCUUGGUUGGUGGCCUCGGAUUCCAUCUUCGUGGCCAGCUUGCUUGAAUAUGACAUCCACCUUCUUUUGUCGGCCUUGAUUGCCGACACUUGUUAGUGGCAUCACAUGGUGCUGGACCCUUGCUUUAUCGCCUUGUGAUAAUGCUGGUAGGGGCCGGCUGCUUUCU
rnacentral:lncRNA from 1 species